UACAGAGGGGGCAAGCGUUGUUCGGAAUUACUGGGCGUAAAGGGCGCGUAGGCGGCCUGCUAAGUCGAACGUGAAAUCCCUGGGCUCAACCCAGGAACUGCGUCCGAUACUGGUUGGCUUGAAUCCGGGAGAGGGAUGCGGAAUUCCAGGUGUAGCGGUGAAAUGCGUAGAUAUCUGGAGGAACACCGGUGGCGAAGGCGGCAUUCUGGACUGUAACUGACACUGAUGAACGAAAGCCAGGGGAGCAAACGGG
rnacentral:rRNA from 1 species